UUAAGUUCAGCGGGUAGUCCUACCUGAUUUGAGGUCUAGUCUUAAAUGUUGCCCAAAGGCGAUUAGAAGCAGUCUUCCCCUUGACCAGAUGAAACUUAUUACAUCAGGCUACGGUUGGAACCACUAAGGUUUUCAAGGUGAGCAAAGUUGCAACACCCAAAUCCACGUCUCUAAAGAAAACUCUAGAGUGUGAGGUUUCA
rnacentral:misc_RNA from 1 species